rnacentral:lncRNA from 1 species
CCUCACCAAUUUCAUGGUGUUUUUGGUCAGACUUUCCUCACCAAUUUCAUGGUGUUUUUGGUCAGACUUUCCUCACCAAUUUCAUGGUGUUUUUAGGAUUCAGCUGCUGAUGGGAAACAUCACAUCAAGUUCAGCUCUGAUGAGGAAGAGGAUGGCGACGAGGAAGAACAUACUUCCCCUGUACCUCCCAACCCCAAGAAGACACUGUUCCAGAACAGCCAGUCUGAUGAGGAAGACUCUAGUGAUGAAGAAUCACCAGCUCGAGGAAAGCCAGGCCUUAAAGACAAGGAAUAUAAGAAGCUGGCGGGCAGCAACCUGUUUGACGACGAUGAUGAUGAUGAUGAUGAGGAGGAGAAGGAUGGGGACAGGUUCCAGAUUAAACCUCAGUUUGAAGGAAAAGCUGGAGCGAAGCUCAUGCAACUGCAGUCGAGGUUUGGAACAGAUGAGCGUUUCCAGAUGGAUCGCAGGUUUAUUGACAGUGACGACGACGACGAACCAGGUGAGGCAGAUCGACUGUCCUUAUUGGACGGUUCUUUCUCUCUGAAAAUCCCGUUCCUAAACCCUCUCCAUCGGACUCUGCCUUAUUCUUUCUUCUAGUCAGUACUCUUAUGGGUUUGAUUUUAUUUACUAUUUUUAAAUUUUUCCCUUGACAGAGAUGGAGUUGUCUCAGCCGGAGAGAGAGUGUGAGCUGGUAGAGGAGAAGAAGAAAAGUCUAGACAUCUUAAAUCAUCUCCUCAACAUCAACGUACAACCCUCUGACCCUAAUAAACCGACAGCUAAGGGCAAGGCGUUCAGGUCAGUCAGAACUCACUGGAGUUCAUGUCACUAGAAUGGUGUCUAAAAUGGUGUUCCCUAUAUAGGUUUCUAGUGCACUAUAGGGCCCCUGGUCAACAGUAGUGCACUAUAGUGCCCCUGUUCCCUAUAUAGGGUUCUAGUGCACUAUAGGGCCCCUGGUCAACAGUAGUGCACUAUAGGGCCCCUGGUCAACAGUAGUGCACUAUAGGGCCCUUGUUCCCUCUAUCGGCGUUCUAGUGCAAUAUGGGCUGGUCAACAGUAGGCGCUGUGGGGGCAACUGGUCAACAGUAGUGCGGCUCAUGGGCAACUGGUCAAACAGUAGUGCGCUAUGCGCCCCCUGGUCAACAGUAGUGGCUAUGGGCCCCCUGGUCAACAGUUUUAGGCGCUAUGGGCCCCCGGUCAACAUAGUGCGCUAGGGCCCCUGGUCAACAGUAGGCGCUAUGGGCCCCUGGUCCAACAGUAGUAGUGCGCUAUGGGCCCCCUGUUCAACAGUAGUGCCGUAUGGGCCCCCUGGUCAACAGUAGUGGGCUAUGGGGCCCCCUGGUCAAACAGUAGUGCGCUAUGGGCCCCCUGGCAACAGUAUUGCGGCUUAUGGGCACCCUGGUUAACAGUAGUGCGCUAUGGGCCCCCUGGUCAACAGUAGGCAGCUUAUGGGCCCCCUGGUCAACAGUAGUGCGCUAUGGGACCCCCUGGUCAACAGUAGUGACGCUUAUGGGCCCCCUGGGUCAACCGUAGGCGCUAUGGGCCCCUGGUCAACAGUAGUGCGCUAUGGGCCCCCUGGUCAACAGUUAGUGCGCUAUGGGCCCCCUGGUCAACAGUAGUGCCGCUAGGGCCCCGCGCAACAGUAGUUGCGCUAUGGCCCCCCUUUUGUUUUGGUCAACAGUCUGCGC